AGCGUAUAUUAGAGUUGUUGCAGUUAAAAAGCUCGUAGUUGAAUUUCGGGGUCAGUAGGUCGGUCGUGCCACUGGUAUGAACUGGUUUUACUGAUUCCUCCCUCUUGAAGAACUGUAAUGCCAUUAAUUUGGUGUUGCAGGGAAUCAGGACUGUUACUUUGAAAAAAUUAGAGUGUUUAAAGCAGGCUUUAGCUUGAAUACAUUAGCAUGGAAUAAUGAAAUAGGACGUUUGAUCCUAUUUUGUUGGUUUCUAGGAUUGACGUAAUGAUUAAUAGGGAUAGUUGGGGGCAUUAGUAUUCAAUUGUCAGAGGUGAAAUUCUUGGAUUUAUUGAAGACUAACUACUGCGAAAGCAUUUGCCAAGGAUGUUUUCAUUAAUCAAGAACGAAAGUUAGGGGAUCGAAGACGAUCAGAUACCGUCGUAGUCUUAACCAUAAACUAUGCCGACUAGGGAUCGGAUGAUGUUAAUUUUUUAAUGACUC
rnacentral:rRNA from 1 species